CCGCUGCAAACUUUCUUUUCCGCCUGGCGGUGGACGGAGAGGUAUCGGUAAUGGGGUUCUUCUGGGAUCCGCGGCAACGCCCGCGGGCCGGUCGCCACACUUUUUCAGAUGCAACAGAGCCUAUGGGCUGAAGAUGAGUGGUGGUUGUCAUAAUGAAUGUUUUCCAAAAACUUACCACAGAGGAUGACUAAACCCACAGGAUAUACAGCUGCAUGUAACAAGGUACCAAAGCAUAUAGGUAGCCACAGACGAAUGAAUGUUCAAGUUCUUAGCUCUGGUAUAUAAGAAUUCUUCAUUGCCUCAGAUGAAAAAAGUCCUCAAAGGGAAACAUUUUGGUGAUGUGGAAGAGAUGAAACAAAAAACAGCAGAAGCACUAACAGGCACCAAAAUCAAUGAGUUUAAAAACCAUUUUGAGCAGUGGAAAAAAUGUCAGUAGGUGUAUUGCAUCAAACAAAGUACUUUGCAGGUGACUGAAGUUUAAACAUGUAAAAAUGCACAAUUGUUUAUAAAUUCUGUUUUUUGAGGGUAACCCUUUGUAAUAUAUAUUUUAUCACAA